AAAGUAUUAGCUGUAGCAGAUGGUCGACACUGACACAAUUUGAGCGUGCUAUAGCAUCAAAAUCUAACCUAUUCCAGUGUUCUCCUCUAUGAGACAAGCCGUUAUGUAGAUUUAGACAGU